rnacentral:rRNA from 1 species
UAAUGCAGUCGAGCGAAUGACGAGGAGCUUGCUCCUCUGAUUUAGCGGCGGACGGGUGAGUAACACGUGGGUAAUCUGCCUGUAAGACGGGGAUAACUCCGGGAAACCGGGGCUAAUACCGGAUAAUAAGAAGAAACGCAUGUUUCUUUUUUGAAAGUCGGUUUCGGCUGACACUUACAGAUGAGCCCGCGGCGCAUUAGCUAGUUGGUGAGGUAACGGCUCACCAAGGCGACGAUGCGUAGCCGACCUGAGAGGGUGAUCGGCCACACUGGGACUGAGACACGGCCCAGACUCCUACGGGAGGCAGCAGUAGGGAAUCUUCGGCAAUGGGCGAAAGCCUGACCGAGCAACGCCGCGUGAGCGAUGAAGGCCUUCGGGUCGUAAAGCUCUGUUGUUAGAGAAGAACAAGUACGAGAGUAACUGCUCGUACCUUGACGGUACCUAACCAGAAAGCCACGGCUAACUACGUGCCAGCAGCCGCGGUAAUACGUAGGUGGCAAGCGUUAUCCGGAAUUAUUGGGCGUAAAGCGCGCGCAGGCGGUCUCUUAAGUCUGAUGUGAAAGCCCACGGCUCAACCGUGGAGGGUCAUUGGAAACUGGGAGACUUGAGUGCAGGAGAGAAAAGUGGAAUUCCACGUGUAGCGGUGAAAUGCGUAGAGAUGUGGAGGAACACCAGUGGCGAAGGCGGCUUUUUGGCCUGUAACUGACGCUGAGGCGCGAAAGCG